rnacentral:tRNA from 1 species
GCGAAAGUGGCGGAACUGGCAGACGCGCGGGACUUAGGAUCCCGUCCCUUCGGGGGUGGGGGUUCAAAUCCCCCCUUUCGCA